AGAAUCAACGCUGGCGGCGUGCCUAACACAUGCAAGUCGAACGAGAAAGGGGAGCAAUCCCUGAGUAAAGUGGCGCACGGGUGAGUAACACGUGACUAACCUACCCUGGAGUGGGGGAUAACUGAGGGAAAACCUUAGCUAAUACCGCAUAACACCUACGGGUCAAAGGAGCAAUUCGCUUUGGGAGGGGGUCGCGGCCGAUUAGUUAGUUGGCGGGGUAAUGGCCCACCAAGGCGAAGAUCGGUAGCC
rnacentral:rRNA from 1 species